AAAGAGAGAGAGAGAGAGAGAGAGAGAGAGAGGUGCUCACCGUCGCCGCGGUUCCAUCUUCGAAGGGAGCGAUCUCAAUUCUCAUCGCCGUCGUCGUUUCGGCUUUGCAUUUCAGAUAGAAUGCGACAGGUGCAACCAUUCUGGUACCGAUUCUAUUCGAUUAAAUUGGGGAGGCGAUCGGUGAUUAUGCUUGGUGUGUCUAGGGUUUUUUUUGGUUUGUCUAGGGUUUGAGUAUCGAUCGAUGAGACAAUUCGUUGGUAUCAUCUCAGCAAUGGCGUAGCCGAUUGACUUAUCGACAAACUUCUGUGAUGCAAAGAUUUAAUUCUUUAUCGAUGGUUGUGAGCGUGUUCUGGUAUAGUUAAUAUCAGUUUUCUGGCGAUGGAUGGAAGGAUAUCGAACGACGCAGUUUCUUCAUCUCUAUGUUCUGUUUUAAGCGAGACAGCUGGUGCUUUCUUGCCGUCUUUCUAGGGUUUGAGUAUCGAUCGAUGAGACAAUUCUCUGGUAUGGUCUCAGCAAUGGCGUAGUCAAUUAACUUCUCGACAAACUUUUGUGAUGCAAAGAUGAUGGUUGUGACUUGUGAGCGUGUUCUGGUAUAGUUAAUAUCAGUUUUCUGGCGAUGGAUGGAAGGAUAUCGAACGACGCAGUUUCUUCAUCUCUAUGUUCUGUUUUAAGCGAGACAGGCAUGUUUUCUGGUUUCUCAGUGUAUUGCUCUGGUGGUUAUGUCUUCUCUUGAAAUAAUGAUUGCCAACCAUAUUGAGGUAUUUUCAUCAGGAAUUUUUUAUAGCGAGAAGCUGGUGUUUUCUUUCCUAUCCUGUCAGUUUCUUUGUUAAUCAAUAAAUUAAACUGUGUGCCUAAACAUAUGUAAUUUCUUGUUACUCUGACUAACUGAGAUUUGUGAAUUGUGAUUUAUUCAGGCUCAUAGUUUCCGUCACUUUUGAGUGACUAUUUGGAAGAACUUGAUUAUGGUUUAUGUUGGAGGUAAAUCUUUGGGAUUCUAGUUUUCCUUUGAAGUUAAUUUAUUUCUGCUGAUCGAUCUGUUGGGAAUUUUUCUGUAUGUUCUGUUCUAUAAAUUUGUUGGUUUUUUUUUUUCUUUUUUCUACAAAGAGAAUGUAAUUUACACUUUAAGGUCUACUGAAACCUAAGAAACAAUUGAUUGGUUAUUGUUCUACAGUUUGAUUGAUAUUGAGUUGUGAAUUAGAUCUGUAAAAUUGGUGGUGUAUAUGCUUGGUGUGAAAUUUGAGUUUCUUUAUUGUAAGUUUCGUUGAUACUGAAUUAGAAAUCAUGCCCUAAUUUAUUGAAGUUAGGGAUAUGGACACAUUUUUAAACAUGGAUAUGAACAUUUUUACUACGUCUGCAUCCGUGUUUCAGAUCCUUCAUUGAGUUUCUUAUAAAAUCAUGUUUUUGUCUUUAUAAAAUCCAACUUUUUCGACAGUGAAUUAGUUUAUUAUUGUUCAGUUUCUUUUGGUUUCUUGCAUCCUACUUGUAAAGAUUACUUCCCAUGUUGCGCUAGGUAGAUCCUAAGCUUUUGAAGGAUUUCUUCUAUUUAUACAAAUUUUUUUACCUAAAAAUAUCAAAUUAAACACCUAUUUUUUAUUUUAUUUUUUAUAUUCUACUAAAAAUUAACUUUACAUUCAAAAUAUCACAUCAAUUAUUUAUAUCACAUUAUUAACUAUUUCAAUUCAAAUUUUCUAUCCCCAAAUUUCAGUCCCUACUAAAGAAUCUAUGUUCUUGUUAUUAUAUUGGCCUCUUCUUUUCUUAUGAGGGCAUCUCUAUUCUCGUUCUUUUAUUCUCUAAUAAUAUUUGUGGUCUAAGCAAUGGUAUGUAAAACUAUCCAUUUGCCAUACAAAAAUAUUAAAUUUAACUCAAACUUUUACAUAAUUGGAUAGUCUUCACUACUACACUUUCGUAAAUGUUUAAACCUUCAUUUUGUAGCUUGAAAUUCACAAAUUAAAAAUUGCAAUCCCAUUGUUGGAGUAGGGCCGGAGCUGGUCCAGAUCAUUGCCUGGGUCUGGUUUGGGUUUGGGUCUGGUUCAGGGCUGGGUCUGAUUACGGGUCUGGAUUUGGGUCUGGUUCAGGUCUGUGUUAGUUCUGGAUCUGGGAUGGGCCUGGGUCUAGAUUUGCUUCUGGUUUGGGUCUGGGUCAGUUGUAGUCUGGGUUUGAGUCUGAUUCAGAUCUGGUUCUGAUUACGGGUCUGGGUUGGUCAGGUUCUAGGUCUGAAUCUGGGACUGGAUUUGGGUCUGGUUCAAGGUCUGGUUCAGGUCAGUGUUGGUUCUGGGUCUGGGUUGGGUCCGGGUCUGGAUUUCCUUCUGGUUUGGGUCUGGGUUAGUAGUAGUCUGGGUUUGGGUCUGGUUCAGGUUUGGUUCCGAUAAUGGGUCUGGGUUGCGUUUGGAUUUGGGUCUGGUUCGGGUCUCUGUUGGUUCUGGCUCUUGGUUGGAUCUGGGUCUGGAUUUGCUUCUGGUUUGGGUCUUGGUCUGGGUCUGGAUCAGGGACUGGUCUGAGCCUAUAUCAGUUCUGGUUUGUUUCGGGUUCUACUCAACUCUGGGUUCUGUCAAAACUAUUUUCUUAUAAAUUGUUGAAAAUCUCAGUUUUUUUUCUCCUACCAUUAGUGUUUUCACUUUAUCAAAAUUAGUUAUAUUUUUUUCUUUUGGCUCCCUGCAGCAUUUCUUGUCUGGAACAUGCAAUUCAUUUGGUGAGUGAUGUUUGUUUACUCACAUUUGUAUGAUCAUUACAUAUGCAAUUCAUGUUAGGAUUUGUUUUUCAACCCUAACAUUAGAAACUUUAUGCACUUUAAGUCUAUGUCUAAUUUUCAUGUUAAAAGCAUGCAUUAAGACCAUCUAUUUGCCUUUACCAUCUUAUAGAAUUUUCUGUUGUAUUAUAUUUUACUUUCUUUUUUUGUUGUUUCCUUUGUGCAGUCAGUCGACAACAAGAUUUUGGUACACACUCUUCUAUUUUCAGGACAUCGGAAGUGAACAUAAGGUUCCAAUGCAUAAGGUAAGUUUUUUACAAAGGUUAUUUAUUUAUCUUUCUUUUUUAUGUUUUUGUGCUUGCAUAAAAGAAGUUGAUUUAUUUUUUUUUUUUUGUUGUAUGUAUGUAUGUAGAUCAUUAGUUGUUGUGUUUUCUCUUAAUGCAUAUUUAAUCGACUUUGUUAUAUGCUUAUAUAUGUGUAUGGGUGUGUAUGUGUUAUGUGCAAGUAUAUAUUAUGUUUGUACUUUUUACAUGAUCCUUAUAAGUUUACUAAGAUAAAUUUAAGUGGUUUUUUAAAAGUAUUUUGGAAUGAAGUUGAUAACUAUAAUAACAUAUUAAAUUGUAUGCAUGCAUUAUGAUUUAUAUAUGUUGUAUAUUAUGUUUAGUAUAUUUAUUUUGCUAUUUUCGAAUUGAGCAAUAACUUUCUUUAUUGCAAUGCAAUGUUUUUGAAAUGUUAUUAUGGCAAUUUAUUAAGAUGCAUGCAAGUAUGUAUAUAUAUAAAUAAUGCAUUCAUGCAUGUAUGGAUGUAUGUGUGUGUGUGUGUGUGUGUAGGUGGAUGGAUGGGUGAAUGUAUAUAUAUGGGUGUGUGUAUGAAUGGAUGAAUGUAUGUAUGUAUGUUUGGGUGUAUGUAUAUGGGUGUGUAUGAAUGUAUGUAUGUAUGUAUGGG